rnacentral:rRNA from 1 species
UACGGAGGGUGCAAGCGUUAUCCGGAUUCACUGGGUUUAAAGGGUGCGUAGGCGGAUAGGGAAGUCCGUGGUGAAAUCCUGCAGCUUAACUGCAGAACUGCCGUGGAUACUCUCUAUCCUUGAAUAUCGUGGAGGUUAGCGGAAUAUGUCAUGUAGCGGUGAAAUGCUUAGAUAUGACAUAGAACACCCAUUGCGAAGGCAGCUAACUACGCGAUCAUUGACGCUGAUGCACGAAAGCGUGGGAUCAAACAGG